CUGAGAUUGUUGAAAAGGUGAAGCUAACUUACCCUCUUCAAGAAGAAGCUAGAUAUAAGCAGAUAUAGGACAUUUUUAAUUUAAGAAGUGUGCUUCUUUCAACUGAGUAUGGGAAGCAUGGUUCGUAAAUAUGCCAGUCGUAUUGGAAGAAACACAGUUGAUAAAGCUAGAAGUGCACAAGGGCAGCACAGCAUUUAUCAAUUAUGCGAUAUGAACCUGACGCCAAACAUUUCCGGUAGUGAUUUACCCAUUUAUUUCAAAAACAGCAGGUUUUCUGCAGUAUUAAGGAAAUACUCAAGUUGGUCCGAGCUACUCUACCGUCUCAUGGUGAAUUAUGUCGCUAGUUCUUUUGAUAAGUAUUCCGAGAAAAGGAACGGGUCUCUGGAGUUUAUUUUCUCCGUUAAAUUACUGAAAAUGCAAAAGUGGAUUAUACACAUCUCGAUUGAACUUGAGGAACAGGUGCAAUUAACGGAAUUUCAUCAUUGGGUCUUGUUUCACAAAUUGGGCGACGCGUUAAUUUUCACUUUGAAAAAUUUUCCAAUCCCUAAAAAUUUUCUCACAUGUGAUGAUUUCCUGACACACAUUAGAAUUGGGUUAACGGGAGAAAUAGAAUCGUUCUCGGUUAUUAAAAUACAUGCUAUACCUAUAAUGCUGAGUUACGAACAAUUCAGGUUAUGGCUUUUGGACUUUAAAACUGUAAAUAUGACACCAAAUAUUUCAUUAUGCAUCUUUAUCAGUGACGUUGAAAACUUAAAAAUCAUCUUCAGAAACGCUAACCCUUUCAUAUUUUGUUGGGAGAACAGCAAACAAUAUAAUAAGGACCGCCUUUCUCAACAAAUUGAUGGUUCUAAUUUACAAAUUCUAUCGAAGUUAACUGAAAUGUUAACACCAAGCGUGGAAGAUUAUUGUAAUAAGUUAAGUGAAGAUUUAAUAUUGGAAAAUCAAAGGUUGUUUAAUGAAAAUGAGUCGGUAAAACAGUUAUUACAAGAAAAAAAUGACCUCAUUGAAAAACUUCUGGAAGAGUAUGUAGAAAAAGAAAGUCACUUCAAAGAAGAGAAAAAACUGUUGGAAAAUGAAAUACUGAAGUUCAAGGAAACAAUCCUCGGUCUUGAGGAACAUAUAAAGGGACUUGAAGACGAGAAAAAAGAUCUGUUAUCCGAUGUAGGAAGACUCUCGGUUGAGAUCGACUCCAAAAUGACCAAAGAAAAAGAUAUCGAGAUUUUUAAGAAAAUAUUUCCCAGCAAAUCCGCUGUAUCUGUAAACGCAAGUGAAGAAUCCGCUGAGAUAGUCGUGUCUCCUGAUAAUCAUCGCACUGAAGAAAAUAUUCCUCGAAAUCAAAACCAACCAGACCGUGUUGGAUCAAGUUCAGGUGUGCUUCCUUCAAAUGAAAGCAAUGGUUCAUCUGAACCGCUGCGUUUUCCAGUCCAAAUACAAGAAACAGAUGGUGCUGAUGGAGGGAAUACAUCUCUUUCGUCAGCAAUAUCUUCAGUCCAUAAUGCAUAUAAACAACUAUUGCUAGCCAUUGCCAAUAAUUUGCUCACCGGUGAUAUCAUGAAGCUAAAAGAUUGGGUUCAUGAACAGUUUUUAGUCGAAACGAAUCUUACUUCAACCGAAAUCAUUCUUCAAUUGGACCGAAAAGGUGUUAUAAACGCAUCAAAUACAAGCGUACUUCGCGAAUUCCUCAAGUCAAUUCUGAGAAUUGAUUUAGUUCACCUCAUCGAUGAAUACCACAGCGGCAACUAUGUUAAUUUGAGAAGGAUGGUAGUUGAAAUUAAGCAAAAGAGCGUGAGCAGCACACGAGAUGUCAAUCGGGCGUACGCAUCUCGUAGAAUUCCGUCUCAACGAGAGAUAUCUGAACAAAACUUUCCCCUUGUUCGUACAGAUACUAUGGUCAUGCCUCCUGUCAGUAAUCAACAUGAUAUGGCCAAUGUUCAUCAUCAGAAGCCCAGCGAAACUCUCUCAAGACGAAAUAGAUUGUCCACGCAUGAAGAUGUCCCUAAUGACCGUGCAAGAGAUACAGCAAGAGGUAACGAAAGUAGAUCAAGAGAAGCAAGCAAUGGUACUACAGAGAAUUCAAGACAUCAAGAGCACCGAACACGUGCUCGUAACCAAAACGCACGUUUUAAUUUUCCAUCCACAUCAAAUAAUCCAAAUGGUCGGUCUGAGAGAUCAAACAAUGUGAAGAAACAACCAGAUAGGUGGUUGUGUAAUCACUACAAAAGACGUUGCAUGGUGAAAUUUGAAUGUUGUGAUAAAUACUGGGCUUGUCAUCGUUGCCACAACGAGACGAGCACGUGUCAGCAAAAGAAACUGAAAUCACGUGAUACGACGAUGGUAAAGUGCAUGGAAUGCGGUAAAGAGCAACAGUUCGGUCAAUUUUGUGUUUCAUGUAACACUCAAUUCGCUGAUUUUUACUGUGGUCUUUGCAAGCAUCUUACUGGAAGAGAUGAUCAUCCCUAUCAUUGCGAGAAAUGUGGAAUUUGCAGGAUCCAUGGAGAUCGUUCAUUUCAUUGCGACGUCUGUGGUGUUUGUCUUGAUGUUCAACUCAGAGGAAAUCAUAAAUGUCGUCCAGAUUCCGCUCAUGACAACUGUGGUAUCUGCCUCGAGGAUGCGUUUACGGGAUGUCAAAUUUUGCCAUGUUCCCACAAAGUUCAUAAAGAAUGCUCCAAGUUAAUGAUUCAAAACGGAAUGACUCGCUGCCCAAUAUGCCGAGAAAGUUUUGCGCACAAACUUCAAAGAAAACCAGUUAGAAAACAAACAAUAAAAACAAGGUGAUUAAAGUCAGUAAACCACUCUGAUCUCUUGGAAUUAUGGGGUGAACUGAAGAUUUUUAGACUGAUUGGGACAUGCAGAUGAUUACGAUAGUAUAAUUCUCGUAUUUUUGACGUCACUGGACCAUUAUCAGAUACUCCAGAAGGCAGAAAUUUUCGUUUCCAGCGAGUGUGGCAAAACUCGUUAUCUGAAACCAAACCACAUGAUGCAGGCGUGAGCAAGUAAAUAAAUGAAGAUCUUGGAUGGAAUUUAACAUGCACGUGCAUGGCACGUUGGUUGGGUGGAUUCAUUCAGAGAUCGACCAGAAAAUACAUUUUAGGGAGGCAAUGAAGAGCGAGUAAAGGAACUAUCAAUCUAAUCGUAAUUUUAGGGUAUUUUUUAAUUUUUCGCAUAUAGAAUUACACGCAGUAUUUUAGCGAUUUAAAAAUUUUCAAACUAAGGCAUGAAGAAAUAAGUCUCCAUUAAUAUGAGAGUAUAAUCAAGCUGGAAGCUUUCGAUCAUUCUCAUUUAACUUUCUAUGAUAGAUAGAUAGAUAUCAGAUGGUAUAUUAAUUUUCACUAAAACAUUACAGCUAUUGGCUGAGUUCAGUUUAGUUUAAUAAACUGCUGCCAUCUGUUAAUAGCUCCUCAGUGAAUUUGAGAAAUAGGUGUAAAUUUGACAUAGCUAAAGUUAAGAUGAACCGUUUUAAAACCAGUUUUAUAAUUAGUAGCUAACUCUGUCAAAUCAGUAAUUAAUUUUUUCUCUACUCAUCUACAUGCAUGCAUUUAAAACUUUUAUAUCUAUGUAUAUAUAAAUAAUUUUUAUUCUAUUUGUAAGCUUAUGAUUCUCAUCGUUUGAAAUCUGUUUAAAACAGUUUAUCUGCAAGGUACUGGCGGCGUACGACGAAAGGGACCAAACGAAUUCAGCAAUUGAUAAUGCUUCUUGGUAUGAUGUUGAUGCCUGAUGGAUGUACUAUAUGCAUAGCGCGCUUUUGCAUUCUUUGAGAUCGUGUGAGAGGUACUCGGGAUGGUUUCACUAAUGGGUGAAUCUUCAACAUUGAGUUAAACUUAACACAGGUUAUUGAAGACUAUACAAGAGUCACGGAUAAAAGUGCAUCGUUAUUAGAUGUUAUCAUGUCGUCGUCUUCUUCUUUAAUAGAGUCAAGUGGCGUAGUUGGUACCUGCAUCAGCGACCACCUCCCAGUUUAUGCUAUUGUUAAAUUGAAAGCUCCUAAACCACAACAAUCCUUUAAAACUAUUCGUAGUUUCAAGAAAUAUAAUCCAAUGGAAUUUAGAUCUGACCUGCUUCGUCAACAUAACACAUUGGACUCGAUCCUCGAACACGUCGACGUCAACGAUAAGGUAUUCAUCUUCGAUAAGUUGUUAAAGAGCACCUUGGAAAAACACGCCCCGCUAAUUACAGUUAAGAUAAAGAAUCGGCCUUGCACAUUCGUAACUAAUGAGAUAAAAAACAUGAUGAGAAACAGAGAUCAUUUGCAUCGAAUUUUCUUAAGUACUCGCCGUCAAGCUGACUGGAUGGAGUUCGUGUCUGCCCGUAAUGUUGUUAAGUCCGCACUAAGACACGCUGAAAAGGAUAACUACACGUCUGAAGUAUUAAAGAAUAAGAACAAUUCGGGUUCUUUAUGGAAAAUAAUUAACAAUUGUAUCCCAUCGAAGGAGAGAAACACUCUUACCUAUGCAAAAGAUUCAACUCUGGUAGCAGAAGAAUUUAACUACUACUUCACCUCCGUAGGUUCGUCUACCGCCCUUGCAGCAGAGAACAUCGCCAAAGAUCAUAACUUGCAGUUGACUGAUC